GAUGAACGCUGGCGGCGUGCCUAAUACAUGCAAGUCGAGCGAAGAGGGGACGGGGGAGUAAAACGUGGAUAACCCCCUAUAAGACUGGGAUAACUUCGGGAAAACGGAGCUAAACCGGCUAAUUAUAGAUGGAUCCGCGCUGCAUUAGCUGGUUGGUAAGGUAACGGCUUACCAAGGCAACGAUUCAUAGCGGACCUUAGAGAGUGAUCGGCCAAACGGGAACUGGAACCCGGUCCAGACUCCAACGGGAGGCAGCAGUAGGGAAUCUUCCGCAAUGGGCGAAAGCCUGACGGAGCAACGCCGCGUUAGUGAUGAAGGUCUUCGGAUCGUAAAACUCUGUUAUUAGGGAAGCGGUACCUAAUCAGAAAGCCACGGCUAACUACGUGCCAGCAGCCGCGUUAAUC
rnacentral:rRNA from 1 species